rnacentral:rRNA from 1 species
CACGUAGGCACCAAGCGUUGUCCGGAUUUAUUGGGCGUAAAGAGCUCGUAGGCGGUUCGGUAAGUCGGGUGUGAAAACUUUGGGCUCAACCCAAAGCCUGCACUCGAUACUGCUGUGACUUGAGUCCGGUAGGGGAGUGGGGAAUUCCUGGUGUAGCGGUGGAAUGCGCAGAUAUCAGGAGGAACACCGGUGGCGAAGGCGCCACUCUGGGCCGGUACUGACGCUGAGGAGCGAAAGCGUGGGGAGCAAACGGG